rnacentral:rRNA from 1 species
GACGAACGCUGGCGGCGUGCUUAACACAUGCAAGUCGAACGAUGAUGGGACUGCUUCGGUGGUUUUUGAUUAGUGGCGAACGGGUGAGUAACACGUGAGUAACCUGCCCUUCACUCUGGGAUAAGCCUUGGAAACGGGGUCUAAUACUGGAUAUUACUUGAGCCCGCAUGGGUUCGGGUGGAAAGCUUUUGUGGUGGAGGAUGGGCUCGCGGCCUAUCAGCUUGUUGGUGAGGUGAUGGCUUACCAAGGCGACGACGGGUAGCCGGCCUGAGAGGGUGACCGGCCACACUGGGACUGAGACACGGCCCAGACUCCUACGGGAGGCAGCAGUGGGGAAUAUUGCACAAUGGACGGAAGUCUGAUGCAGCGACGCCGCGU